GAUGUGCCCCAGGAACCUUUGGCUAUGGGUGUCAGCAGCUAUGUGAGUGCAUGAACAACUCCACCUGUGACCAUGUCACCGGCACCUGUUACUGCAGCCCUGGCUUCAAAGGAAUCAGGUGUGACCAAGCUGCCCUCAUGAUGGAGGAGCUGAAUCCCUACACCAAGAUCAGCCCAGCACUGGGUGCAGAGCGGCACUCAGUGGGUGCUGUCACAGGCAUCAUGCUCCUGUUAUUCCUCAUUGUGGUGCUGCUGGGCCUAUUUGCCUGGCAUCGGCGGCGGCAGAAAGAGAAGGGCCGAGACCUGGCUCCCCGUGUCUCCUACACACCUGCCAUAAGGAUGACCAGCACCGACUACUCCCUCUCAGGUAAGGGCCAUGCUCCUGGCCUCCCUCCUCUUCCCCUCCACAACACAUACCCCAGGAAUGGUUGUGCCUGUAGGGUUGGCUGCUGUGGCUGAAUGUGGAAGCUCAGUCUCCCCUAGAGUGACAGUGGGGAUGGGGAGCAGGAGCCUACCUAGAAAAGAUAUCUGGGGUUCCAAGGGAAAAUUGUUUCCUGAGUCCCUAGCUCUGAGCAGC
rnacentral:sRNA from 1 species